UCCAUAUCACGGUGAGCAAGCUGCUGAUCUGCUAGCUGAUUUCUUUGAGAAAUGUAAGACAGAACCUUCUCAUUGGGAAACCAUUUCAACGGGUGGCCUGAAGCGCAUCCAAGAGAAGUAAGCAACUCUUUCUUGACUAUGGUCAUUUCUCAUUGGGAAACCAUUUCAACGGAUGGCCUGAAGCGCAUCCAAGAGAAGUAAGCAACUCUUUCUUGACUAUGGUCAUUGUAUUAACUUGGGAUUUGAGGCGUAGUUGAUUGAUAUUUUAUCACUUGUCUACUACUGGCACCCGUAGUGUCCAACAAAAAUUUCGCGUAUACAUGUAUAUGUCUUUAUGAUAUAUUAGUAUAUACAAAGCAAAUUUUAGUUAAAUGCAAAUGCGCACCCGCAACCUCUAAAUCCCGGGCCCGCCUAUGCUAAUACAGGUACACAUGGCAAAUCUACUCGGAAAGGCUAUUGACGUUGGCUGCUGUUUACGGGUUCUGGAAACAUGUUUCUAAGCUUGAUCGUCUAGAAAUCCGACGAUAUCUUGAAAUGUUUUAUGCUCUCAAAUACCGCA
rnacentral:lncRNA from 1 species